ensembl:lncRNA
AAACACUUAAAGCUGUAAGCUAAUGAUAGUUAUAUAAGAGCAGAUGCUGCUGGUGCAAUAAGCUGUACGUUUUACGUCCAAUGGAUCCAUGAUCUGAUUAGUCGACUAAUCGCAAAAAUAAUCGGUGACUAGUCGACUAUCAAAAUAAUCGUUUGUGGCAGCCCUAUUAUGAAACCCCAGCCAUGCACAAGUCAUCGGGAUCCUUGGCAGCAACAUCACCCUUCAAUUUACAUUCAACGUUAGCAUUACUGAAAACAGUCAAAUUGGAAUUUAUACAACAGGCGAGAAAAAGAUUGAUGAUUUUAAAAGUGGGAAAAGUUCCUUUGAUAUUUACCCCCAAAAGAAUUCUGUAUUUUACCACAUCACAAAUCUCACUCUAAGCCACAGUAACACCUACUGGGCCAGUUUACUUGGUGGUAUCCCGAGAAAAAGUAAUGAAGUGGAGCUGUUCAUUGAAGAGAAGAACACACACAGUACAGACCCCAGCCAUGCACAAGUCAUCGGGAUCCUUGGCAGCAACAUCACCCUUCAAUUUACAUUCAACGUUAGCAUUACUGAAAACAGUCAAAUUGGAAUUUAUACAACAGACGAGAAAAAGAUUGAUGAUUUUAAAAGUGGGAAAAGUUCCUUUGAUAUUUACCCCCAAAAGAAUUCUGUAUUUUACCACAUCACAAAUCUCACUCUAAGCCACAGUAACACCUACUGGGCCAGUUUACUUGGUGUCAUCCCAAUAAAAAGUAAUGAAGUGCAGCUGUUCAUUGAAGAGAAGAAUACACACAGUACAGCCACUGAAACACCCGCUGAGCCUCCACAGUACAAUAGUAAUGCCAUCAUCACUGUUAUCCGUGUCUUCGCCUUCAUCACAUCUUUGGCCUUGGUUGUGGGAGUCUGCAAGAUCUACCAUCUGAAAUGCAUCAAGUCCAGAAACUAAACAGCCACAGAUGGUUAACAGAAGAAAGACGAGACUGAUGGAGCAGAUCCGUGUGUCGUAUACUUUCACACUGGCAUCAAGUUCAUAAAUAACAUAAUGAUU